rnacentral:rRNA from 1 species
UGUACCUACGGGACGCAGCAGUGAGGAAUAUUGGUCAAUGGGAGAGAUCCUGAACCAGCCAAGCCGCGUGAGGGAAGACGGCCCUAUGGGUUGUAAACCUCUUUUGUCGGAGAACAAAACCCGGGACGUGUCCCGGACUGCGUGUAUCCGAAGAAAAAGCAUCGGCUAACUACGUGCCAGCAGCCGCGGUAAUACGUAGGUGGCAAGCGUUAUCCGGAUUUAUUGGGCGUAAAGAGAACGCAGGCGGUCUUUUAAGUCU